rnacentral:piRNA from 1 species
UCCCCGCUCUUCAUCCGCUGCUUGUGAAUU